AUCCUCAGAGAGUACUUUGACUUCUAAUUCAGUCAACCGUGACUUCAAAUUCAAAUUUUCAUCAGAUAAUUUGCAUAUAUCCUGUUUACUUAAUUUGAGUCUGUUCUGAAAGUUCUUAUGAUUUGAGUCUGUUCUGAAAGUUUAUUUAUCAAGACUGCAAUAUCUGACUCAAUCUUAUCCUUGAACAUGCGAAAUUGUUUCUCUGUAAUUCCCAACUUAGCCUCAUCUUGCGGCCGAACUGGAGUAGAGCUAGCCUGUGUUCCAGUCCACUACAGUAGUGGACUGGAACACAGGCUAGGGUAGAGCUGUCAAUAGUUUGGGCAAAGAAUAUAUUGGUAUUAUUAUUUCGCAUCAGAAUAUUCGCAUUUUGAAAAGAUCGGUCAAUAAAAUUCUCUAGCUCAUCAAGGGUUGAACAAUCCGCCGUUAGUACCUCAUCUAUAGCUUUAUCACUAUAACCACCAGUAGAUACUUUACUAGCCUCAAGCAUGGUCAGAUCUUGUACUAUUUGACUAACACUGACCGAUUGUUGUUUGUGUUUGACUGAUGUUUCAGCCAACGCAUGAGAUAAACAGCCCUCGUCAGUAUCAGUUCGCUUGACACAUUUUGUGAUCAAAAUACUCAACAAAAAUGUCUUAAAAGAUUCGCCAUCCCUUCCGUUAAAUGUAAGCGAAUUUAACUUGCCAGGAUACCAGGUCAUAAUAAAAUUUGAAUUUGAGUUGGUGAACUGUUUAGAUUUACCUCCGCUUGACCUCCAUGUACCAGUCAGCCCGGUCACAUUUUCAGCAAAAUUCUGCAACGAACGAAAGUCUCGAGACCAUAUAACUCAUUUCCCAUCAUAAACAAAGUCAGCUUGAUCCUUUAACAAGUUGAUCGAAUUUAUAUAUCAAUGUUCUCGAACGACAAUUUUUUAUAUUUUGGUGAGUUCAACAAAUCGUGACCGUCCGCCAUAUUUAUUCAAUGCGUACAAAGUCCAUACAAAGUUCACGCCCAUAUGAAAACACGCCUACUCCAUACAUAGCCUCAGUUUUAGCCCUCGCCUUCCCCCACCGAUCAAUGUUGAUAACGAAAUUAAGUUGGGCAUCAACAUCCAGUGGCGCCGUGGGUGCCAUGUUUG
rnacentral:lncRNA from 1 species